UACGAAGGGGGCUAGCGUUGUUCGGAAUUACUGGGCGUAAAGCGCGCGCAGGCGGUUCUUUAAGUCAGGGGUGAAAGCCCAGAGCUCAACUCUGGAACUGCCCUUGAAAACUAGAGAACUUGGGUACGGGAGAGGUGAGUGGAAUUCCGAGUGUAGAGGUGAAAUUCGUAGAUAUUCGCAAGAACACCAGUGGCGAAGGCGGCUCACUGGCCCGAUACUGAUGCUGAGGCACGAAAGCGUGGGGAGCAAACAGG
rnacentral:rRNA from 1 species